rnacentral:hammerhead_ribozyme from 1 species
AUCUGGAUGACAAGUCCAAAAUAGAACGAAACGCGCGUCCUGGAU